rnacentral:lncRNA from 1 species
GAAUUUUCUUUAACUUCAUGGUUUGUGAUUGCAUUAUGACUGCAUAUUGCAGAUAAUUUUUAUGUGUUUUCAGUGAGCAUUCGCUCAGCAGUGACUCCGUGCCUAUCAGCUCUGAGGGUCUGGGCUGCUCUGAUUUCUCCUCCCCCGUAAGCACUGAUGAGCCGGUCCGGAGACCACUCGUGUCCACCUUAAUGGGCUCAACCAACAUGAUUGUAGAGCCCAGUCUGUGUGAGGGAAUGUCUUUUCCUCCACCUGCGGUUGGUUUAGAGAGGUCAGGUGUCCGCCGUGAAGAUGACAUCCUGUUUCAGUGGCGACUAAGGAGGAAGAUGGAACAGGCCAGACAAUGGAGUCAGGAGGCCCCUUCCCACAAUUCUGUUCUCCAUAUACCUCUAUCACCAAACCAGAAGAGAGCAAACCUCUCAUUCACCCUCGCUAGACUCGAUCCUCCGGUCCCUGAGACUGCUCUCCCAAUUUCAAGCCCCAGCGUCUCCAGACUUCAGCCUGAUGAGCAACCAGACCCCGAUAUCCAACCCAAACCCCUUCCCCAGCAGAGACUGUCCUCCAGGAAAGCUGUCACAAAGAGUCUAGAAACCCCUUCUGCCCAACCACAACAUCACAAGCCAAUCAGAACACAGGUCAGCAUCCCAGAGACCACAGCAGAUCACCACAGAGCGCAGACAUCCUCUUCUCCAUCUCCACAGACUUCUGAUAGCACAGAGGAGCGGUGGCCGGCCCCUCACCAUAAGAAAGACACAACAGUCAAAGAAAAGACUGAACAUGAGAGACAUGAGAAGAGUGCACCUUCAAGCCGAAAGAAAACAUCUGAAAGACAUAGUGGUGAGCGAGGCAGCAGUGCAGGGAGGGUCAGGCAUGCUAGGGGUCAUGAAGGGGUCAGUCGCAAACCGGAGGAGCCGAGUGGAAAAAGCAGGUGGCAGGAAGAGGGUCAAAGUUCGGCACGAGGAGGACAGUCUGGAAAUCGAGCACCACCACCUUCACCUAUACAUAAUGCUCUGGGACAGGUUGUCUCUGAGGUGCUUUUUGCUGGGACAGAUUCUCCAAGCCAGUGCAAGACUCCAAGUUCUUCAGAUUCCCCAGUAUAUACACCACCUCCACCCCCACAGUCCCCUGUUGCCUCUUGUUCCGGUGUACAGCAACCCUUGGAGGUCAUAGGUCAACUCAUGCAGGAUGCAGAAGGUAGGAAGACCUCAUGCAUUCCCUUUAAACUAGCUGUAAAACUGUAUGACGACGUGUGAUUAACAGGUCAUGCAAGGGUCGAGUGUUUUAGCCUGAACGUGUUAUAAAUAGCAGGAUUGACACUUCAGAGUGUGCUUAGAACAACAGAAUGC